GUCAUUAGCCACCUGCGCGAGACCAUCAGGAGGUUCCAGGAGCAGACGCGGCUGAUCGCUGAGGUGGAGGGCGAGAACCAGACACUGCGAGAGACGGUCGAGUCGCUCCACUGGCAGCUGGCUAAACAGAAACACCGGCAGAACCCGGAUAACACCCAGAUACGCUGCAUCGAAUCUAAGCUGGACGAGAUCGACCGGCAGUAUCGGCGGCGCGCUUCCCACCUGCAGGCCAUCUUGCAGCAGCUGGAGCAGUGCAGCCUCUCGUCCCGCUCCAUAGAUGACACUAGUUGGACCUAGCGUCGCAGGCGCCCGCCAGCGGCGGGCGGCGCACCGCCGCGCGCUGCAGGAAGCUGCCGCACGUCAGCGCGGAAUGUCGACUGACGGGUCCGAGCUGUCGCCCGCCGUAGUGUGUCGACAGGGAUGUCACCAUUGUGCCGCGUCAUGGUGGCUGGCGAACGACUACGCUUCCCACGACUCGGCACUGUCGGCCGACCGCCACCGCGCCGUCCCGUACAAAAUCGCCCGCCGCUCGGCAGAGAUGUGUUGAUUAUGAUGCUCCAGCCGUCGGCCGGGCUUGAUGAUUGCUGUUAAAUAUACGUCG